CACUAUCGUUAACUGAAUACAUAGGUUAACGAGGCGAACCGGGGGAACUGAAACAUCUAAGUACCCCGAGGAAAAGAAAUCAACCGAGAUUCCCCCAGUAGCGGCGAGCGAACGGGGAGCAGCCCAGAGUCUGAAUCAGCUUGUGUGUUAGUGGAACGGUCUGGAAAGUCCGACGGUACAGGGUGAUAGUCCCGUACACCAAAAUGCACAGGUUGUGAACUCGAAGAGUAGGGCGGGACACGUGGUAUCCUGUCUGAAUAUGGGGGGACCAUCCUCCAAGGCUAAAUACUCCUGACUGACCGAUAGUGAACCAGUACCGUGAGGGAAAGGCGAAAAGAACCCCGGCGAGGGGAGUGAAAAAGAACCUGAAACCGUGUACGUACAAGCAGUGGGAGCACCUUCGGGUGUGACUGCGUACCUUUUGUAUAAUGGGUCAGCGACUUAUAUUCUGUAGCAAGGUUAACCGUAUAGGGGAGCCGCAGGGAAACCGAGUCUUAACUGGGCGUUAAGUUGCAGGGUAUAGACCCGAAACCCGGUGAUCUAGCCAUGGGCAGGUUGAAGGUUGGGUAACACUAACUGGAGGACCGAACCGACUAAUGUUGAAAAAUUAGCGGAUGACUUGUGGCUGGGGGUGAAAGGCCAAUCAAACCGGGAGAUAGCUGGUUCUCCCCGAAAGCUAUUUAGGUAGCGCCUCGUGAAUUCAUCUUCGGGGGUAGAGCACUGUUUCGGCUAGGGGGUCAUCCCGACUUACCAACCCGAUGCAAACUACGAAUACCGAAGAAUGUUAUCACGGGAGACACACGGCGGGUGCUAACGUCCGUCGUGAAGAGGGAAACAACCCAGACCGCCAGCUAAGGUCCCAAAGUCAUGGUUAAGUGGGAAACGAUGUGGGAAGGCACAGACAGCCAGGAUGUUGGCUUAGAAGCAGCCAUCAUUUAAAGAAAGCGUAAUAGCUCACUGGUCGAGUCGGCCUGCGCGGAAGAUGUAACGGGGCUAAACCAUGCACCGAAGCUGCGGCAGCGACACUAUGUGUUGUUGGGUAGGGGAGCGUUCUGUAAGCCUGCGAAGGUGACCUGUGAGGGUUGCUGGAGGUAUCAGAAGUGCGAAUGCUGACAUAAGUAACGAUAAAGCGGGUGAAAAGCCCGCUCGCCGGAAGACCAAGGGUUCCUGUCCAACGUUAAUCGGGGCAGGGUGAGUCGACCCCUAAGGCGAGGCCGAAAGGCGUAGUCGAUGGGAAACAGGUUAAUAUUCCUGUACUUGGUGUUACUGCGAAGGGGGGACGGAGAAGGCUAUGUUAGCCGGGCGACGGUUGUCCCGGUUUAAGCAUGUAGGCUGAUUAUCCAGGCAAAUCCGGAUAAUCAAGGCUGAGGUGUGAUGACGAGGCACUACGGUGCUGAAGUAACAAAUGCCCUGCUUCCAGGAAAAGCCUCUAAGCAUCAGGUAACAUCAAAUCGUACCCCAAACCGACACAGGUGGUCAGGUAGAGAAUACCAAGGCGCUUGAGAGAACUCGGGUGAAGGAACUAGGCAAAAUGGUGCCGUAACUUCGGGAGAAGGCACGCUGGUGUGUAGGUGAAGUCCCUGCGGAUGGAGCUGAGACCAGUCGAAGAUACCAGCUGGCUGCAACUGUUUAUUAAAAACACAGCACUGUGCAAACACGAAAGUGGACGUAUACGGUGUGACGCCUGCCCGGUGCCGGAAGGUUAAUUGAUGGGGUUAUCCGUAAGGAGAAGCUCUUGAUCGAAGCCCCGGUAAACGGCGGCCGUAACUAUAACGGUCCUAAGGUAGCGAAAUUCCUUGUCGGGUAAGUUCCGACCUGCACGAAUGGCGUAAUGAUGGCCAGGCUGUCUCCACCCGAGACUCAGUGAAAUUGAACUCGCUGUGAAGAUGCAGUGUACCCGCGGCAAGACGGAAAGACCCCGUGAACCUUUACUAUAGCUUGACACUGAACAUUGAGCCUUGAUGUGUAGGAUAGGUGGGAGGCUUUGAAGCGUGGACGCCAGUCUGCGUGGAGCCAACCUUGAAAUACCACCCUUUAAUGUUUGAUGUUCUAACGUUGGCCCCUGACCGGGGUUGCGGACAGUGUCUGGUGGGUAGUUUGACUGGGGCGGUCUCCUCCCAAAGCGUAACGGAGGAGCACGAAGGUUAGCUAAUCCUGGUCGGACAUCAGGAGGUUAGUGCAAUGGCAUAAGCUAGCUUGACUGCGAGCGUGACGGCGCGAGCAGGUGCGAAAGCAGGUCAUAGUGAUCCGGUGGUUCUGAAUGGAAGGGCCAUCGCUCAACGGAUAAAAGGUACUCCGGGGAUAACAGGCUGAUACCGCCCAAGAGUUCAUAUCGACGGCGGUGUUUGGCACCUCGAUGUCGGCUCAUCACAUCCUGGGGCUGAAGUAGGUCCCAAGGGUAUGGCUGUUCGCCAUUUAAAGUGGUACGCGAGCUGGGUUUAGAACGUCGUGAGACAGUUCGGUCCCUAUCUGCCGUGGGCGCUGGAGAAUUGAGGGGGGCUGCUCCUAGUACGAGAGGACCGGAGUGGACGCAUCACUGGUGUUCGGGUUGUCAUGCCAAUGGCACUGCCCGGUAGCUAAAUGCGGAAGAGAUAAGUGCUGAAAGCAUCUAAGCACGAAACUUGCCCCGAGAUGAGUUCUCCCUGAGACUUUAAGUCUCCUGAAGGAACGUUGAAGACGACGACGUUGAUAGGCCGGGUGUGUAAGCGCAGCGAUGCGUUGAGCUAACCGGUACUAAUGAACCGUGAGGCUUAACCUU
rnacentral:rRNA from 1 species